AACGAACGCUGGCGGCAUGCCUAACACAUGCAAGUCGAACGAGACCUUCGGGGCUAGUGGCGCACGGGUGCGUAACGCGUGGGAACCUGCCCUUAGGUUCGGAAUAACUCCCCGAAAGGGGUGCUAAUACCGGAUAAUGUCUUCGGACCAAAGAUUUAUCGCCGUUGGAUGGGCCCGCGUUGGAUUAGCUAGUUGGUAGGGUAAAAGCCUACCAAGGCGACGAUCCAUAGCUGGUCUGAGAGGAUGAUCAGCCACACUGGGACUGAGACACGGCCCAGACUCCUACGGGAGGCAGCAGUGGGGAAUAUUGGACAAUGGGCGAAAGCCUGAUCCAGCAAUGCCGCGUGAGUGAUGAAGGCCUUAGGGUUGUAAAGCUCUCUUACCCGGGAUGAUAAUGACAGUACCGGGAGAAUAAGCUCCGGCUAACUCCGUG
rnacentral:rRNA from 1 species